GACGAACGCUGGCGGCGUGCUUAACACAUGCAAGUCGAACGGAAAGACCCUGCUUUUGUGGGGUGCUCGAGUGGCGAACGGGUGAGUAACACGUGAGUAACCUGCCCUUGACUUUGGGAUAACUUCAGGAAACUGGGGCUAAUACCGGAUAGGAGCUCCUGCUGCAUGGUGGGGGUUGGAAAGUUUCGGCGGUUGGGGAUGGACUCGCGGCUUAUCAGCUUGUUGGUGGGGUAGUGGCUUACCAAGGCUUUGACGGGUAGCCGGCCUGAGAGGGUGACCGGCCACAUUGGGACUGAGAUACGGCCCAGACUCCUACGGGAGGCAGCAGUGGGGAAUAUUGCACAAUGGGCGGAAGCCUGAUGCAGCAACGCCGCGUGCGGGAGGACGGCCUUCGGGUUGUAACCGCUUUCGCCUGUGACGAAGCGUGAGUGACGGUAAUGGGUAAAGAAGCACCGGCUAACUACGUG
rnacentral:rRNA from 1 species